UUCCCGGGCUUUCCGAAAUAGCCUGGAGUAGUAGAUAAUUUUUUAUAAAAAAUUCUAUCAUUUUUUUAAUGUGAAAAAAAUAUUUGUUUAUUCAAGGGUAGAAUUUUUAUUCUCCGUGGAGUGGUUCGAGUAUUGUAGAGGUUUUGAUCACCUCGUGGAUGACCACAUGGCAAUUAAUUAUCAGGAGAAUUAUAUGGUUUUACUUAAUGAACCUCAUCGCUGUGGAGUCAGAAGGGCGUAAGACUAAUGUUCAUGCAGGCUAGUGUAUGUUUUACACGGAGAAUUGUGCAAAUGGCCGUGAAUUGAGUUGAGUACGUUCAAAAAAGGUUUCUCUGUGGAGAUUUAUCAUACUCCUACGUCAUGGAGAGCGUUGUUAAAUAAUGAAUUCAAACAUGGUAUGCAUUCCAGUCCAACCUACUAAUUUGUAUUAAUAAAAAUCAGGUAGUAGGAGUAGUUGCGUUAACGAAAAACCCUCAGAUGGAUGGAGUUAUACGAAAAUUGAGGACGGCUUGAUAAUUUUUUUUAUGGAACUUGUACAUGUGCUUCCGUAUGUCGACAUGAACAUGGAUAAAUGGAAAUAAAGAAAAAUCUGGAAUACCUUGUUCAGGUGUUCUAUGCACGUUCCAUAGACUGAAGGCUUCCAACUGCUUUAAGAACUAUUUUUCGAAUGUUUUUAAUGCGUUGUUAUGCAAUACCGUAAUUGUGUAUACAUAAGGAGGCACGAGGAUGAAGCUAUUUGCGGAUAGCCGAUAUGACUAGCGUAAUCGGACAAAAAUCGACUACGAAACGAAUAAAAUUCUUCAAUUAUUGAUAUACACCGUUGGUGAUGUGCGUUGAUAAAUCAGUGCGUUGAACGCACAAGUGAUCCGUUUCAAUUAUUUUUCCAACGAAGACGAAUGAAGGCGGUAAAGUUGAAAAGAUGUCGACGAUAGCCUCAAAUUGUUAUUCCGAUGAUAUUUCGAUAAUGAACGUUUUCUCAUCUGCGGUUUACCUUCGUCUGAGUAUGACAUCAGCAUGAAUUACCAUACGAUUAUGGUAAUACCAUUUUGAAUAAUCGAAUGGGUUGACAUUCGAGGUUCAAUCCCUCCGGGUGUUUAUGUGGUACAACUAUGAUUAUGAGGAUCACCGAAAAUUGCCCGAGGAGUCGAUGAGUAUUCGCCAGGUAUUCGCGAUACCAGCUGUUCGAGUGGGACAGGUACAAUCAGAUGGGAUGUGCAUCGGAGGAUCUCAUGGGCAUCAUCGGAGAAACUCAACAUCGGUGGAA